GACGAACGCUGGCGGCGUGCUUAACACAUGCAAGUCGAACGAUGAAGAAAAGAAUUGCAGCUUCGGCAGAAAUUCAUUUCGGAUUAGUGGCAGGCGGGUGAGUAACGCGUGAGCAACCUACCUCUUACAAAGGGAUAGCCUCGGGAAACCGGGAUUAAUACCAUAUAACAUUGCGACGAAGCAUUUCGAUGCAAUCAAAGCUACGGCGGUAAGAGAUGGGCUCGCGUCCCAUUAACCAGAUGGUGAGGUAACGGCUCACCAUAGUAACGAUGGGUAACCGGCCUGAGAGGGUGAACGGUCACACUGGAACUGAGACACGGUCCAGACUCCUACGGGAGGCAGCAGUGGGGAAUAUUGCACAAUGGAGGGAACUCUGAUGCAGCGACGCCGCGUGAGUGAUGAAGGAAUUCGUUUCGUAAAACUCUGUUCUAUGGGAAGAAAAGGACUGUACCAUAGGAGAAAGCUCCGGCUAAAUACGUG
rnacentral:rRNA from 1 species